UAGGGAAUCUUCCGCAAUGGGCGAAAGCCUGACGGAGCAACGCCGCGUGAGUGAUGAAGGUCUUCGGAUCGUAAAACUCUGUUAUUAGGGAAGAACAAAUGUGUAAGUAACUAUGCACGUCUUGACGGUACCUAAUCAGAAAGCCACGGCUAACUACGUGCCAGCAGCCGCGGUAAUACGUAGGUGGCAAGGGUUAUCCGGGAUUAUUGGGCGUAAAGCGCGCGUAGGCGGUUUUUUAAGUCUGAUGUGAAAGCCCAAGGCUCAACCGUGGAGGGUCAUUGGAAACUGGAAAACUUGGGUGCAGAAGAGGAAAGUGGAAUUCCAUGUGUAGCGGUGAAAUGCGCAGAGAUAUGGAGGAACACCAGUGGCGAAGGCGACUUUCUGGUCUGUAACUGACGCUGAUGUGCGAAAGCGUGGGGAUCAAACAGG
rnacentral:rRNA from 1 species